rnacentral:rRNA from 1 species
AUAUCAGUCAUGCAUAGCAUAUCAAUAAGCGGAGGAAAAGAAACUAACAAGGAUUCCCCUAGUAACGGCGAGUGAAGCGGGAAGAGCUCAAAUUUGAAAUCUUAAAGGGUUUCCCUUUACGAAUUGUAGUUUAAAGAAGUGUUUUCUGUUGAGGUUUUGGUAAAAGUUCUUUGGAAUAGGACAUCAUAGAGGGUGAGAAUCCCGUAUUUGACCUUUACUUUCAACUUUGUGAUACACUUUCAAAGAGUCGGAUUGUUUGGGAAUGCAGUCCAAAAUGGGUGGUAAAUUUCAUCUAAAGCUAAAUAUUGGCGAGAGACCGAUAGCGAACAAGUACCGUGAGGGAAAGAUGAAAAGAACUUUGAAAAGAGAGUUAAACAGUACGUGAAAUUGUCAAAAGGGAAGCGUUUGACACCAGUGUUGUUUUUCUGAAAAUCAAUUAAAGAACUGUUUAUGCUAAGUUGUUUAGACUUUAUCAGCUAACUGUUUAGUUUUGAGCUUUUCUUUAAUGCACUUUUCAGUUAACAAGUCAACAUCAAUUUCUUUUGCUGUAAAAAAGCUUGAGGAAGGUGGCUUGAGAUUCGUCUUAAGUGUUUAUAGCCUCUUGCCUAUGCAGUCGGAGAGAUUGAGGUCUGCAGCGUAGAUCCUCCGGGGCUAAAUGCAUUUGUGCUAAGUUAUAGCAUUUUAUAGACAACUUGUUGACUAUGAUUUGUCUUGUAGCUUACUCGCUUAUGUUAUUUUACCUACGCUUAGGAUGUUGACGCGCGUGUGUGCGUGAGUCUAUACAUGACUCUGUGCAUAUCAAUAAGCGGAGGAAAAGGAGGUUGCAUACCUACGCUUAGGAUGUUGAUCUCUCACAGUCGAGC